rnacentral:rRNA from 1 species
AUGCAAUCCUGUCGGCCCGCGCCUUCUCCGACUCCUGCACCAGCCCCACGCCCUGCACCAACCCCGCGCCCUGCACCAGCCAUGGUUUGGUCCGGAGACCACUCGCAGCGCCCGGCCGAGGUUUUUACGGUCAUCCAUGGGACCCCAGCCAUGCAUCAAGAGGCGGCUCUGCUGGGCUCGAACGCCUUGGUGGCAUGGCUGGACCACGACGUGCGUGCAAGCACGAACGACAUCGCCGCCGCCAUCGUCCUCGAGCUCGGCAUGCUGUUGGCGGACAUCGACGUCGUCAAGCACUUUUCGGAGGCGUUCCUCGUCAGGUUCUUCCACCAGCACCACUGCGCCGACGCGGCGGGGCACCGCGACAUCCCGUUUGGAGCGACGAGGCUGCAACUGCACCCUUGGCGCCUGGACGACCACUCCGAAACCGUUGAUCUAGUCCACCAUGUCCGUCUCUGCCUGGACGGGCUGCCGCUGCAGGCGUGGGACGAGCCCGCCGUGGCGCAGGCCAUCGGCACGGGCUGCUCCAUCGACUACAUCUAG